rnacentral:rRNA from 1 species
GUCCGGCCGGGAACUCAAAGGAGACUGCCAGUGAUAAACUGGAGGAAGGUGGGGAUGACGUCAAGUCAUCAUGGCCCUUACGACCAGGGCUACACACGUGCUACAAUGGCGCAUACAAAGAGAAGCGACCUCGCGAGAGCAAGCGGACCUCAUAAAGUGCGUCGUAGUCCGGAUUGGAGUCUGCAACUCGACUCCAUGAAGUCGGAAUCGCUAGUAAUCGUGGAUCAGAAUGCCACGGUGAAUACGUUCCCGGGCCUUGUACACACCGCCCGUCACACCAUGGGAGUGGGUUGCAAAAGAAGUAGGUAGCUUAACCUUCGGGAGGGCGCUUACCACUUUGUGAUUCAUGACUGGGGUGAAGUCGUAACAAGGUAACCGUAGGGGAACCUGCG